GGCCCGGCUCGGCUCGCCCCCGGCCGCUCGCCUUGCUCUCUCCCCGGCGGACUGUAGAUGCUGACCUCAAAAGGACAGAUCUAACUUAAUUUGAAAGGUGGUGUGAGAGAAGGCAGUAGUAUGGCAGUUGCUGCCUGAUGUCUGUACCCUGCUUGGCAUCAUUUUCCUGUCAAGGUAUCACUGAUGGAGGGAAGGACACAAGCAGCAUACCCUCUUACAAAAACGUGAGCAUUUACGAUGGAGCUUUACUGCAUCACUUCACUGGCAUAAAGAUACAGUGCAGAUCUGUAGACCAGCAACCUUCCGUCUUGCACAUUAUCUACAAAUCUCCACAGUGGAUCGAUACUGUAUUCUUCUUCAUCAGUAUUCUCACUGUAAAAUCUUCGUCUCCAAUAUGUGCCACAACCUUGGAAUUAUGGUCUCCAACAACAUGUCCGGUGAAAAAGCUGCCAGUGGAGGUACCGAAGCCAUCUGCUUUUUCCAAAAAAACCCCUAUCCAUUUAAGUUUGGUAAGCACGUAUACUU